CAUCUUAAAGCCAAUGGAGGUACAUUAUUUACACUAAUGAAAAUUAUUGAUUUAUCAAUAUAAGUUGA
rnacentral:tRNA from 1 species